rnacentral:rRNA from 1 species
UUGAACGCUGGCGGCAGGCCUAACACAUGCACGUCGAACGGUAACAGGAAACAGCUUGCUGUUUCGCUGACGAGUGGCGGACGGGUGAGUAAUGUCUGGGAAACUGCCUGAUGGAGGGGGAUAACUACUGGAAACGGUAGCUAAUACCGCAUAACGUCGCAAGACCAAAGAGGGGGACCCUCGGGCCUCCUGCCAUCGGAUGUGCCCAGAUGGGAUUAGCUUGUUGGUGGGGUAACGGCUCACCAAGGCGACGAUCCCUAGCUGGUCUGAGAGGAUGACCAGCCACACGGGAACGGAGACACGGCCCGGCCCCCGGGGGGGGGCGGCGGGGGGAAAUUUUGCAAAUGGGGCGCAGGCUUGAUGGAGCAUUGCGGGGGGAAGGAAGAGGCCUUGGGGGUUUAAAAUUUCUUUGGGGGGGGGGGAAGGAAGAAAAUUAAAUCCCUUCGCUCAUUGCGUUUCCCCGAAAAAGAAGCCCCGGCAACCUCCGUC